CUUGCCCCCCAGGGCACUUCUCCACUGGCAAAGGACGGACGCUGUCAAACCUGGCAGAGCAGAGGUCGUGAGUUCGAAACAUGGGGCUCUUGGAAGGCAAGGAUUUAUUCUUGGAAGGCAAGGUGCAACUUGGAUUGGCUUGCUUGGCACUUUGUCAGACCAGGUGGGGAGCGCUCGGACCCUGGCCAGUUGGAGGCACAUCCUGCGAUUAACCGGACUGUGUGAAGAGGGGCCGGAUCACAGACCCAAGGAUUAGUCUAGAAUAGGACACCUUGUAAAAAAAAAAAAAAAAAAAAAAAAAAAAAAAAAAAAAAAAAA
rnacentral:lncRNA from 1 species